UAAUAAGUGUUUUAUGGCACUUUUUAAAUCCAUAUCCACCUUGUGUGCAAUGUCAGUCGAUCUUCUUCAUGGAGAUCGGACCCAAACAUCAACCUUAUCUUUUUAACUCUUUGUCUGAAAAAUAUUAUGAAUAAAACAAUUCAAUACU
rnacentral:misc_RNA from 1 species